AAACAUGAACCAUCUUUAGAGGCUAUUGAGGGUGAAUAUUGGCGGAUGGUAGAGAAACCAACUGAAGAGAUUGAGGUUCUCUAUGGGGCUGAUUUGGAAACUGGAGAGUUUGGCAGCGGCUUUCCAAAGAUUUGCUGUCAAGAGGGCUCUACAUUGGAUGAAGAGAAGUAUGUAAAAUCUGGCUGGAACCUGAAUAACUUUCCGAAGCUUCCUGGAUCAGUCCUUAGCUAUGAGAGUAGCAAUAUAUCUGGAGUCUUGGUACCAUGGCUUUAUAUCGGGAUGUGCUUUUCGUCUUUUUGCUGGCACGUUG
rnacentral:misc_RNA from 1 species